UCAGAUUGUGUGAUACUGUGUAUGUGUG
rnacentral:piRNA from 1 species